AGCAGCAGAAAAAACAGAUGAAGCUUGUUGUUGCUGGUGCUGCUGCUGCUGCUAGCCUGACUCUGGAUAGUCUCUCUGUAUACUGGGCUCCAGAUCACUUGAACUGUCUCAGAGCCUUUUGCCAGAAACACACAGGCAACACCUUCUGCUUAUAAAGCCAGAUUGAAAACCAAAUGGACUAGCAAAGGAGGAAUGGAGAGAUCCAUCCCUCUUCAAGCAACCCAUUCACUUGCCUGCAUGGAAUUCCUGAUCAUCUAUGGCAACUAGGAUGCAGCUAGAGUGCGCAAGAAAAAGAAUGGCCAAGGAACAGGAGACCUGUUGCUGCAUCUCAGCUCUGGAAGAGUGACAGAUAAAGGUUCCAGGUGGGAAUUUAGCAGCUGUGUUUGCCCAAAGCUUAACAGCUGAACAGUGACUGAAGCCUGGACAUUGUCUCGUAAUGCAAGCUUUACUUAUCCCCACAGAAAUGAAAUGCAUACAUCUAUUCACUUGUAUGGAAGAAGUCUAAACUAUGCACUCAUGUACAGCAGAAGGCAGAUCCCUGGAUCCCUGUCUUGGUAAUCCCAAUCACUCAACCUGUCUAGCACCGAGCUUGAUAAGGCUUUUGUCCUCCCUGAAGACACCACUGGGGCACACCUCCCUAAUACAUUGCUUGCUUGUUGAAACGUUUAACAACCCAACGUGAUGUAGCAGCUUGUCAAAGGAUACCUUCAUAUUAUCUUUGUAGCCCAGAGGAAGAACCACCAUGUGAAAUGAGUGAACCCAGCACUGAUGCAGCCCCUGCAGCAAUGGAGAUCCCAGGACAACGAUUAUAUCCAGCUGCUUUCUGCAUUUUGUAGAUAGCUUGUGCAUUGUAUGCAACUGUAGCACAGAUUAAACACCUUGCACAUCACCAUGCAAAAAUAGAUGUUAAACUAAUCUAUUUUUGCACCAGUACUGAAACAGCUUUAAGGCCAAUUAAAACUUUUUUUUCACAUUUCCUUGCCUCCGAGAUCACAGAAGCUGUGGUUGGCAAUAAACAACACCUUACACUUUGCAUGCAAAGUUUAUAUGUCCAGGUCCACCUAAGGUAGUGAAACAAGCAUGGUCUGAAGUGGGAUUAAGUUUUAGAUGCAGUUCUAUCUAAGCCAUAAAAAGAGUUCCAUACUAGUGUGAACAGUAUCAUUAAUGCUUGUGAGAUUCAGUGUAGGUUCUAUCAGCAGCCAACCCAGGGGUUGGAAUAAUUAUUGGUUGCCAAUGCAUAGUACCAGUGCACACUGUUACAAACUAUUGGAACUCUUUCUGUUCCAGCUGGAGGCAUCCUUGUGGUGUGUUAUAUACAACAACAAUCCUUCAGAUGGAAGAUAACUUGUAAUGCAAUUAAAUUUUACUGUUUUAGCCCUUAGUUGCCCAGAACAAUAUCAACUAUUUAUUACUAGGGAAAAAUAUAUUUCUACACUUCAACAUAUUAAAUAUUAAACACAUCCUGGCAAAUGAUGGCAUAACAAUAGAAUACAUUUUAUAGGUAAAAUAAAUAUUUCCAAUAAUUCUGAUCAUUUGUCCAUCUUUGCCUAAUGAACAUUAGCAAAU